rnacentral:tRNA from 1 species
CUCAAAGGCUUUUUUGGGGGUUUAGCUCAGUUGGUUUAGAGCAUCGGCUUUGCAAGCCGGGGGUCAAGGGUUCGAAUCCCUUAACCUCCAUUUAUUUGUUUUUAAAUAAGUGUGAAUUAAGCCUUUUAAGAAAUGUCUUGUAUUAAAAAAGAAGCUAUUCAAACGUAUUGUUGCUUUUAAAGUGUUAUUUUUUGAUUUAUUUAGGUGAAUUUAGUAUUUUAUAUUGAGUUAACAAAUUUUUUCAUGGGCUUAAAAGAUAUGUUUUUAUGUUAUUUGUUAUCCUGAUGAAUUUCUUUUUAUGAAUUCCAAGACUUGAUUACAUGCAAAAACUUUAUCUUUAAUUAUUUUAUUCAUAUUAUCAAGAACCUUAUCAUGAAUCAACCUAAU